rnacentral:rRNA from 1 species
UACGUAGGGGGCGAGCGUUGUCCGGAAUGACUGGGCGUAAAGGGUGCGUAGGUGGUUUGAUAAGUUGGAUGUGUAAUACCCAGGGCUUAACUCGGGUGCUGCAUCCAAAACUGUUAGACUUGAGUACUGGAGAGGAUAGCGGAAUUCCUAGUGUAGCGGUGGAAUGCGUAGAUAUUAGGAAGAACAUCAGUGGCGAAGGCGGCUAUCUGGACAGCAACUGACACUGAGGCACGAAAGCGUGGGGAGCAAA